rnacentral:rRNA from 1 species
ACACNUGCAGUCGAGCGGACCAAUGCUCAUUUCAGCUUUGCUGAUUUGAGCAACGGUUAGCGGCGGACGGGUGAGUAACGCGUGGGCAACCUGCCCUGUGCAGGGGGAUAACACAGCGAAAGCUGUGCUAAUACCCCAUAAGACUACGCUAUCGCAUGAUAGAGUAGUCAAAGCUUUAGCGGCACAGGAUGGGCCCGCGUCUGAUUAGCUAGUUGGNGGGGUAACGGCCUACCAAGGCGACGAUCAGUAGCCGACCUGAGAGGGUGAUCGGCCACACUGGAACUGAGACACGGUCCAGACUCCUACGGGAGGCAGCAGUGGGGAAUAUUGCACAAUGGAGGAAACCCUGAUGCAGCAACGCCGCGUGAGCGAAGAAGGCCUUCGGGUCGUAAAGCUCUGUCCUAAGGGAAGAAGUAUGACGGUACCUUCAGAGGAAGCACCGGCUAACUCCGUGCCAGCAGCCGCGGUAAUACGGAGGGUGCAAGCGUUAUUCGGAAUCACUGGGCGUAAAGCGUGCGUAGGCGGCGAGGUAAGUCAGGUGUGAAAUCCCACGGGCUCAACCGUGGGAACUGCACUUGGAAACUGCUUUGCUUGAGUACUGGGAGGGGAUGGNNGGAAUUCCUGGUGUAGGAGUGAAAUCCGUAGAUAUCAGGAGGAACACCAGNGGCGAAGGCGGCCAUCUGGACAGUAACUGACGCUGAGGUACGAAAGCGUGGGGGGCCAAACAGGAUUAGAUACCCUGGUAGUCCACGCUGUAAACGAUGGGAUACUCGAUGUCGGGGCCUUGGAGCUUCGGUGUCAAAGNUAACGCAUUAAGUAUCCCGCCUGGGGGAGUACGGUCGCAAGGCUGAAACUCNAAGAAAUUGACGGGGGNCCGCACAG